rnacentral:rRNA from 1 species
UUAAGCGACUAAGCGUACACGGUGGAUGCCCUGGCAGUCAGAGGCGAUGAAGGACGUGCUAAUCUGCGAUAAGCGUCGGUAAGGUGAUAUGAACCGUUAUAACCGGCGAUUUCCGAAUGGGGAAACCCAGUGUGUUUCGACACACUAUCAUUAACUGAAUCCAUAGGUUAAUGAGGCGAACCGGGGGAACUGAAACAUCUAAGUACCCCGAGGAAAAGAAAUCAACCGAGAUUCCCCCAGUAGCGGCGAGCGAACGGGGAGCAGCCCAGAGCCUGAAUCAGUGUGUGUGUUAGUGGAAGCGUCUGGAAAGGCGCGCGAUACAGGGUGACAGCCCCGUACACAAAAAUGCACAUGCUGUGAGCUCGAUGAGUAGGGCGGGACACGUGGUAUCCUGUCUGAAUAUGGGGGGACCAUCCUCCAAGGCUAAAUACUCCUGACUGACCGAUAGUGAACCAGUACCGUGAGGGAAAGGCGAAAAGAACCCCGGCGAGGGGAGUGAAAAAGAACCUGAAACCGUGUACGUACAAGCAGUGGGAGCACGCUUAGGCGUGUGACUGCGUACCUUUUGUAUAAUGGGUCAGCGACUUAUAUUCUGUAGCAAGGUUAACCGAAUAGGGGAGCCGAAGGGAAACCGAGUCUUAACUGGGCGUUAAGUUGCAGGGUAUAGACCCGAAACCCGGUGAUCUAGCCAUGGGCAGGUUGAAGGUUGGGUAACACUAACUGGAGGACCGAACCGACUAAUGUUGAAAAAUUAGCGGAUGACUUGUGGCUGGGGGUGAAAGGCCAAUCAAACCGGGAGAUAGCUGGUUCUCCCCGAAAGCUAUUUAGGUAGCGCCUCGUGAAUUCAUCUCCGGGGGUAGAGCACUGUUUCGGCAAGGGGGUCAUCCCGACUUACCAACCCGAUGCAAACUGCGAAUACCGGAGAAUGUUAUCACGGGAGACACACGGCGGGUGCUAACGUCCGUCGUGAAGAGGGAAACAACCCAGACCGCCAGCUAAGGUCCCAAAGUCAUGGUUAAGUGGGAAACGAUGUGGGAAGGCCCAGACAGCCAGGAUGUUGGCUUAGAAGCAGCCAUCAUUUAAAGAAAGCGUAAUAGCUCACUGGUCGAGUCGGCCUGCGCGGAAGAUGUAACGGGGCUAAACCAUGCACCGAAGCUGCGGCAGCGACGCUUAUGCGUUGUUGGGUAGGGGAGCGUUCUGUAAGCCUGCGAAGGUGUGCUGUGAGGCAUGCUGGAGGUAUCAGAAGUGCGAAUGCUGACAUAAGUAACGAUAAAGCGGGUGAAAAGCCCGCUCGCCGGAAGACCAAGGGUUCCUGUCCAACGUUAAUCGGGGCAGGGUGAGUCGACCCCUAAGGCGAGGCCGAAAGGCGUAGUCGAUGGGAAACAGGUUAAUAUUCCUGUACUUGGUGUUACUGCGAAGGGGGGACGGAGAAGGCUAUGUUGGCCGGGCGACGGUUGUCCCGGUUUAAGCGUGUAGGCUGGUUUUCCAGGCAAAUCCGGAAAAUCAAGGCUGAGGCGUGAUGACGAGGCACUACGGUGCUGAAGCAACAAAUGCCCUGCUUCCAGGAAAAGCCUCUAAGCAUCAGGUAACAUCAAAUCGUACCCCAAACCGACACAGGUGGUCAGGUAGAGAAUACCAAGGCGCUUGAGAGAACUCGGGUGAAGGAACUAGGCAAAAUGGUGCCGUAACUUCGGGAGAAGGCACGCUGAUAUGUAGGUGAAGUCCCUUGCGGAUGGAGCUGAAAUCAGUCGAAGAUACCAGCUGGCUGCAACUGUUUAUUAAAAACACAGCACUGUGCAAACACGAAAGUGGACGUAUACGGUGUGACGCCUGCCCGGUGCCGGAAGGUUAAUUGAUGGGGUCAGCGCAAGCGAAGCUCUUGAUCGAAGCCCCGGUAAACGGCGGCCGUAACUAUAACGGUCCUAAGGUAGCGAAAUUCCUUGUCGGGUAAGUUCCGACCUG